rnacentral:rRNA from 1 species
GACAGAGGUCCCGAGCGUUAGGCGGAAUCACUGGGCUUAAAGCGUGUGUAGGCGGCGGCCUAAGUACCUUGUGAAAUCCCACGGCUCACCCGUGGAACUGCUCGGUAUACUGGGUCGCUUGAGCCACUUAGGGGCUACCGGAACAAAUGGUGGAGCGGUGAAAUGCGUAGAUAUCAUUUGGAACGCCAAUGGUGAAAACAGGUAGCUGGGAGUGUGCUGACGCUGGGACACGAAAGCCAGGGGAGCAAACGGG